rnacentral:rRNA from 1 species
GACGAACGCUGGCGGCGUGCUUAACACAUGCAAGUCGAACGGAAAGGCCCUGCUUUUGUGGGGUGCUCGAGUGGCGAACGGGUGAGUAACACGUGAGUAACCUGCCCUUGACUUUGGGAUAACUUCAGGAAACUGGGGCUACUAUCGGAUAGGAGCUCCUGCUGCAUGGUGGGGGUUGGAAAGUUUCGGCGGUUGGGGAUGGACUCGCGGCUUAUCAGCUUGUUGGUGGGGUAGUGGCUUACCAAGGCUUUGACGGGUAGGCGGCCUGAGAGGGUGACCGGCCACAUUGGGACUGCGGGACGGACCAGACUCCUACGGGAGGCAGCAGUGGGGAAUAUUGCACAAUGGGCGGAAGCCUGAUGCGGCAGCGCCGCGUGCGUGAUGACGGCCUUCGGGUUAAGAACCGCUUUCGCCUGUGACGAAGCGUGAGUGACGGUAAUGAGUGAAUAAGCACCGGCUAACUACGUG